rnacentral:misc_RNA from 1 species
GAUCAUUACCGAGUGCGGGCCCUCUGGGUCCAACCUCCCAUCCGUGUCUAUCUGUACCCUGUUGCUUCGGCGUGGCUACGGCCCGCCGAAGACUAACAUUUGAACACUGUCUGAAGUUUGCAGUCUGAGUUUUUAGUUAAACAAUAAUUAAAACUUUCAACAACGGAUCUCUUGGUUCCGGCAUCGAUGAAGAACGCAGCGAAAUGCGAUAAUUAAUGUGAAUUGCAGAAUUCAGUGAAUCAUCGAGUCUUUGAACGCACAUUGCGCCCCCUGGUAUUCCGGGGGGCAUGCCUGUCCGAGCGUCAUUGCUGCCCUCAAGCACGGCUUGUGUGUUGGGCUUCCGUCCCUGGUAACGGGGACGGGCCCAAAAGGCAGUGGCGGCACCAUGUCUGGUCCUCGAGCGUAUGGGGCUUUGUCACCCGCUCCCGUAGGUCCAGCUGGCAGCUAGCCUCGCAACCAAUCUUUUUAACCAGGUUGACCUCGGAUCAGGUAGGGAUACCCGCUGAACCUAAGCAUAUCAAUAAAGCGGAGG